CAGGCCAGUAGAACAGGUAGGCUCCUUUCCUGUUAUUUACUCCUUAAAUAAACACAACCCAACAAAGACUCUUGGGACAGGAAGAACUCGUUCUUCAGUCUAGCCUCAUGUCAGUUUUGUGAAAUCUCCACUUUCCUGAUUUGAGCUGGAGAGGGAAGAAGGGCAGAAGCAGAGAAGAGGACAUAGAAAGGGCACUGUCUGCAAACUUCAGUCAAAGGAGGAAAAGGUGGGAAAGGAAAAGAAAGGCCACUGAGCAUCUCCUAGGUUAGAGCUGAUUUUCCAGGAGCACCCUGGGCUGGACACAAAAACUGGAGUGGGAGAAACGGCAGGCAAUGUUUCCGCUUGGAAGGAGCGCUUUCCGGCUUGCUGAGGAACUGUUGCUAUGGAAACAGGGCUCCUUCAGCAGAAAGGAAUGAAAAUGGAAUGGUGAAACUUGCUAUCAACUUGUGUAAAGAGGAGGAAAGGAACUUCACACUUGAAAGAAAUGAAUGGACUAUGAAAAAGGGUGUGGAUAAAGAACGAGGAGAGCACAGAUCCAGGCAUUUCACAGUGCAGCGAGACUUAGAG
rnacentral:lncRNA from 1 species